rnacentral:rRNA from 1 species
UAGUGGCGAACGGGUGAGUAACACGUGGGCAAUCUGCCCUUCACUCUGGGACAAGCCCUGGAAACGGGGUCUAAUACCGGAUAACACUGCGGAUCGCAUGGUCUGCGGUUAAAAGCUCCGGCGGUGAAGGAUGAGCCCGCGGCCUAUCAGCUUGUUGGUGAGGUAGUGGCUCACCAAGGCGACGACGGGUAGCCGGCCUGAGAGGGCGACCGGCCACACUGGGACUGAGACACGGCCCAGACUCCUACGGGAGGCAGCAGUGGGGAAUAUUGCACAAUGGGCGAAAGCCUGAUGCAGCGACGCCGCGUGAGGGAUGACGGCCUUCGGGUUGUAAACCUCUUUCAGCAGGGAAGAAGCGAAAGUGACGGUACCUGCAGAAGAAGCGCCGGCUAACUACGUGCCAGCAGCCGCGGUAAUACGUAGGGCGCAAGCGUUGUCCGGAAUUAUUGGGCGUAAAGAGCUCGUAGGCGGCUUGUCACGUCGAUUGUGAAAGCCCGAGGCUUAACCUCGGGUCUGCAGUCGAUACGGGCUAGCUAGAGUGUGGUAGGGGAGAUCGGAAUUCCUGGUG